rnacentral:rRNA from 1 species
CCGUCGCCAUUGGAUAGCUGGCUAUCCAUGGUGAGAGUGGCGCACGGGUGCGUAACGCGUGAGCAACCUACCUCCAUCAGGGGGAUAGCCUCUCGAAAGAGAGAUUAACACCGCAUAAUAUCAACAGUUCGCAUGUUCAGUUGAUUAAAUAUUUAUAGGAUGGAGAUGGGCUCGCGUGACAUUAGCUAGUUGGUAGGGUAACGGCUUACCAAGGCGACGAUGUCUAGGGGCUCUGAGAGGAGAAUCCCCCACACUGGUACUGAGACACGGACCAGACUCCUACGGGAGGCAGCAGUAAGGAAUAUUGGUCAAUGGGCGGAAGCCUGAACCAGCCAUGCCGCGUGCAGGAUGACUGCCCUAUGGGUUGUAAACUGCUUUUGUCCAGGAAUAAACCUAAAUACGGGUAUUUAGCUGAAUGUACUGGAAGAAUAAGGAUCGGCUAACUCCGUGCCAGCAGCCGCGGUAAUACGGAGGAUCCGAGCGUUAUCCGGAUUUAUUGGGUUUAAAGGGUGCGUAGGCGGCCUGUUAAGUCAGGGGUGAAAUACGGUGGCUCAACCAUCGCAGUGCCUUUGAUACUGAUGGGCUUGAAUCCAUUUGAAGUGGGCGGAAUAAGACAAGUAGCGGUGAAAUGCAUAGAUAUGUCUUAGAACUCCGAUUGCGAAGGCAGCUCACUAAGCUGGUAUUGACGCUGAUGCACGAAAGCGUGGGGAUCGAACAGGAUUAGAUACCCUG